ACAAUGAAAACUUUAACAGAAAUUGUCUCUUAAUACAUUUACAGUCUUGUAUUUACAAGCUAAAUAUAUAUAGGAAAUCACAAAUAAAUCCCUUUUAAGUUUGCUGCUGUUUUGAUGAAUUAUGUUUUCUUUAAUUUUUUGGAUGUGACUUAAUUGAUGACAAAUGUUAAAUUUGUGGAUGUUGGUCAUUAAUUUUGCUCUAAUAAUACUGCAAGAAAACCAUGGCUGAACUUAGUUCUUGGGUAAUCUAGUUCCUGCGCGUUAGGCUGCCUGUCUGCGCCAUCCGGGUACUUAGCUGCUGUGUCGGUGUGGCUCAAAUACUGCAGUGUCCUUGGUACACCAGAUUCUCUGAUCUGUCCCUGGUAAUCAGUGUGGGUCUGUUCCCACCACGUGAGGAACAGUCUUGAGGAAGUUCCCUUUUGUUGUCUCAUUAAAGUGCAGGCCAUGACAUUGACUUCCCUCGCUGUGGGAACGAACGCCUUCUAGAUUUCACAUGCCAUCAGAAUCAUUUUCAGCUACAUGUAUGUAUUUUUCACUGCAAUUGGAAUCUAUUUAAAUUUUUCAAUUUUGUUUUGGUUUAGAAUGCUUAUCUUCACUCCACUGUUGGUUCAAUAUUAAAGGUUUUUGCUAUUAGUCCCUACUCCAUUUUGGUAAUUUGGCAACUUUUUAGCUCUCCCAGUUACUGUAGCUUUAAGGCGGGCUGGUUAGUACUCUGUAUCUGUAGUAAGAAUUGCAUCACAGUUAGGCGAGGCUUUCUGUUCACGUACUAGCCUUUAACUCAUCGAUAACUGGGCUAUAGAGGUAGGUCUGUUAACUUUCUCUGUGUGUUCCUGAUGGAAUUCACCAUAGCCUUACAGCUUUUCUCGGAAGGUAACCUGUAUAAGAGAAAUAGCGUUUGCAUGUUCCAGAGUCAGAACCUUGCAGCACAUGACGCACACAAACCUUGGGUUUCAUUUAGCUUCUCACAGUCAAGGAUCCAAGACGCCAAAUCUAUGUGUGAGCAUUUGACACAUUCUCAUUUGCUGCUUCUCUCUCCCUCUGAUCCAGUUGAAGGAAUGUAUGGGUGACUGGCAGGCAGUGCUGCCUUCAAUAGGAAACUAAACGCUGGGGCCCAUCUCCCACCCGACUACCUGAGAAACCGCUUUGUGUCCCACUGUUACUAAAGCAGAAAGUAUAGUGUUCUUCACUUGAACUAAUCAAAUACAAUAGAUUAUAAAUUGUGUAUUGUAAAUAAAAGUUCACUCUGUGAGUGCACAUUUUGGUAAAUUAUUUAUUUAUGUUAACAUU
rnacentral:lncRNA from 1 species